ensembl:miRNA
AAAGUUGUGGUUCCAGAGUCGGGGUUUUGGGGGCAAGAUGAGCUUAUGUUUUAUCCAACUGGCCCACAAAGUCCCGCUUUUGGUGGUCACUUUGU